ACGAACGCUGGCGGCGUGCCUAAUACAUGCAAGUCGAACGCAUUUUCUUUCACCGUAGCUUGCUACACCGAAAGAAAAUGAGUGGCGAACGGGUGAGUAACACGUGGGUAACCUGCCCAUCAGCGGGGGAUAACACUUGGAAACAGGUGCUAAUACCGCAUAAUUCCAUUUACCGCAUGGUAGAUGGGUGAAAGGCGCUUUUGCGUCACUGAUGGAUGGACCCGCGGUGCAUUAGCUAGUUGGUGGGGUAACGGCCUACCAAGGCUGCGAUGCAUAGCCGACCUGAGAGGGUGGUCGGCCACACUGGGACUGAGACACGGCCCAGACUCCUACGGGAGGCAGCAGUAGGGAAUCUUCGGCAAUGGACGCAAGUCUGACCGAGCAACGCCGCGUGAGUGAAGAAGGUUUUCGGAUCGUAAAACUCUGUUGUUAGAGAAGAACAAGGAUGAGAGUGGAAAGUUCAUCCCUUGACGGUAUCUAACCAGAAAGCCACGGCUAACUACGUG
rnacentral:rRNA from 1 species